GGAAGUGAAAAGGCCGCUGGUGGGUCUCCUGGACUUCAAAUCCAGUGUCCCCGAUUAAUAAUCGGGGAGGUGGGUUCGAUUCCCAUUCACUUCCGCCA
rnacentral:tRNA from 1 species